ACUCAAAUGAAUAGACGGGGGCCCGCACAAGCGGUGGAGCAUGUGGUUUAAUUCGACGCAACGCGAAGAACCUUACCUGGGCUUGAACUGUGGAUGACCAGUCACGAAAGUGGCCUCCCGCAAGGGCGUCUGCAGAGGUGCUGCAUGGCUGUCGUCAGCUCGUGUCGUGAGAUGUUGGGUUAAGUCCCGCAACGAGCGCAACCCUUGUUCGCUGUUGCCAUCAGGUAAUGCUGGGCACUCUGCGAAGACUGCCGGUGACAAACCGGAGGAAGGUGGGGAUGACGUCAAGUCAGCAUGGCCUUUAUGUCCAGGGCCACACACGUGCUACAAUGGCCGGUACAAACCGUCGCGAUCCCGCGAGGGGGAGCUAAUCGGAGAAAGCCGGUCUCAGUUCGGAUUGUAGGCUGCAACUCGCCUGCAUGAAGUCGGAAUCGCUAGUAAUCGCGGAUCAGCACGCCGCGGUGAAUACGUUCCCGGGCCUUGUACACACCGCCCGU
rnacentral:rRNA from 1 species